rnacentral:rRNA from 1 species
GACGAACGCUGGCGGCGUGCUUAACACAUGCAAGUCGAACGAAGUGGCGAACGGGUGAGUAACGCGUAAUCAACCUGCCCUUCAGAGGGGGACAACAGUUGGAAACGACUGCUAAUACCGCAUACUGGCGGCGGGGAUUGUGUCUGAUUUGCUAGUUGGCGGGGUAACGGCCCACCAAGGCGAUGAUCAGGAGGCGGUCUGAGAGGAUGAACGGCCACAUUGGGACUGAGGCACGGCCCAGACGCCUACGGGAGGGAGCAGUGGGGAAACUUCCGCAAUGGACGAAAGUCGGGAGGGGCAAAGCCGGGUGAGUGAGGACGGCCGUCGGGGUGUAAGGCUCUGUUAAUCGGGACGCGGUACCGGAAUAGAAAGCCACGGCUAACUACGUGCCAGCAGCCGCGGUAAUUC